rnacentral:rRNA from 1 species
GAAUUUUGGACAAUGGGCGCAAGCCUGAUCCAGCAAUGCCGCGUGAGGGAUGAAGGCCUUCGGGUUGUAAACCUCUUUCAGUAGGGAAGAAGCCGGCCCUUUGGGUUGGUGACGGUACCUGCAGAAGAAGCGCCGGCUAACUACGUGCCAGCAGCCGCGGUAAUACGUAGGGCGCAAGCGUUAUCCGGAAUUAUUGGGCGUAAAGAGCUCGUAGGCGGUUUGUCGCGUCUGCCGUGAAAGUCCGGGGCUCAACUCCGGAUCUGCGGUGGGUACGGGCAGACUAGAGUGAUGUAGGGGAGACUGGAAUUCCUGGUGUAGCGGUGAAAUGCGCAGAUAUCAGGAGGAACACCGAUGGCGAAGGCAGGUCUCUGGGCAUUAACUGACGCUGAGGAGCGAAAGCAUGGGGAGCGAACAGGAUUAGAUACCCGGG